AUACGGAGGGUGCAAGCGUUAUUCGGAAUCACUGGGCGUAAAGGACGCGUAGGCGGGUUGGCAAGUCAGAUGUGAAAUCCUACAGCUUAACUGUAGAACUGCAUUUGAAACUGCUAACCUAGAGUAUGGGAGGGGGAGAUGGAAUUAGUGGUGUAGGGGUAAAAUCCGUAGAUAUCACUAGGAAUACCGAAAGCGAAGGCGAUCUCCUGGAACAUAACUGGCGCUAAGGCGUGAAAGCGUGGGGAGCAAACAGGAUUAGAAACCCCAGUAGUCC
rnacentral:rRNA from 1 species